CAAAAUGUAGCUUAAUAGCUUAAAGCACCCGGCUUACACCCGAGAGAUUUCACUCACUAUGAACAUUUUGA
rnacentral:tRNA from 1 species